rnacentral:rRNA from 1 species
GAAUGCUGACAUAAGUAACGAUAAAGCGGGUGAAAAGCCCGCUCGCCGGAAGACCAAGGGUUCCUGUCCAACGUUAAUCGGGGCAGGGUGAGUCGACCCCUAAGGCGAGGCCGAAAGGCGUAGUCGAUGGGAAACAGGUUAAUAUUCCUGUACUUGGUGUUACUGCGAAGGGGGGACGGAGAAGGCUAUGUUGGCCGGGCGACGGUUGUCCCGGUUUAAGCGUGUAGGCUGGUUUUCCAGGCAAAUCCGGAAAAUCAAGGCUGAGGCGUGAUGACGAGGCACUACGGUGCUGAAGCGACAAAUGCCCUGCUUCCAGGAAAAGCCUCUAAGCAUCAGGUAACAUCAAAUCGUACCCCAAACCGACACAGGUGGUCAGGUAGAGAAUACCAAGGCGCUUGAGAGAACUCGGGUGAAGGAACUAGGCAAAAUGGUGCCGUAACUUCGGGAGAAGGCACGCUGAUAUGUAGGUGAAGCGACUUGCUCGUGGAGCUGAAAUCAGUCGAAGAUACCAGCUGGCUGCAACUGUUUAUUAAAAACACAGCACUGUGCAAACACGAAAGUGGACGUAUACGGUGUGACGCCUGCCCGGUGCCGGAAGGUUAAUUGAUGGGGUUAGCGGUAACGCGAAGCUCUUGAUCGAAGCCCCGGUAAACGGCGGCCGUAACUAUAACGGUCCUAAGGUAGCGAAAUUCCUUGUCGGGUAAGUUCCGACCUGCACGAAUGGCGUAAUGAUGGCCAGGCUGUCUCCACCCGAGACUCAGUGAAAUUGAACUCGCUGUGAAGAUGCAGUGUACCCGCGGCAAGACGGAAAGACCCCGUGAACCUUUACUAUAGCUUGACACUGAACAUUGAGCCUUGAUGUGUAGGAUAGGUGGGAGGCUUUGAAGUGUGGACGCCAGUCUGCAUGGAGCCGACCUUGAAAUACCACCCUUUAAUGUUUGAUGUUCUAACGUGGGCCCCUUACCGGGGUUGCGGACAGUGUCUGGUGGGUAGUUUGACUGGGGCGGUCUCCUCCUAAAGAGUAACGGAGGAGCACGAAGGUUGGCUAAUCCUGGUCGGACAUCAGGAGGUUAGUGCAAUGGCAUAAGCCAGCUUGACUGCGAGCGUGACGGCGCGAGCAGGUGCGAAAGCAGGUCAUAGUGAUCCGGUGGUUCUGAAUGGAAGGGCCAUCGCUCAACGGAUAAAAGGUACUCCGGGGAUAACAGGCUGAUACCGCCCAAGAGUUCAUAUCGACGGCGGUGUUUGGCACCUCGAUGUCGGCUCAUCACAUCCUGGGGCUGAAGUAGGUCCCAAGGGUAUGGCUGUUCGCCAUUUAAAGUGGUACGCGAGCUGGGUUUAGAACGUCGUGAGACAGUUCGGUCCCUAUCUGCCGUGGGCGCUGGAGAACUGAGGGGGGCUGCUCCUAGUACGAGAGGACCGGAGUGGACGCAUCACUGGUGUUCGGGUUGUCAUGCCAAUGGCACUGCCCGGUAGCUAAAUGCGGAAGAGAUAAGUGCUGAAAGCAUCUAAGCACGAAACUUGCCCCGAGAUGAGUUCUC